GCCAGGGCCUCCUGCGUCGGCCAGAGCCCCAAUCGCCAGCACCACCAGCAUCCCCCCUGCCUUGCCAGCGCCGCCACGAACGCCCAGAUCCGUCGUCGCCCCAUCAUUACCUUAGCGCCACCCCAACGCCGGUGUCUCCCCAGCACCUCAACAUCACCGCCCCAGCCCAUCGUAUCCCAAGGAUCAACGGAUAAGUUUGAUGCCGAGGACAUGGAGCAAAAGAGAGAUUCAGUAAUGAGACACUUGAGCGAUUUGUGGAAUAAGUGGCGUGGUGACAUGCACAGGAAAUAUGUGAAAGAAAAUUCAUUGCAAGUUGCAUUUAGAAAUAAACCUGCAGAAGUGAGUGUUGAUGACUGAGAUUGGCUAGUUAAGGAAUAUUAUUUUUCUUAAAAAUUUCAGUCAGGAAAUCCAUCCGAUGUGACAAAAAUGUUCCAUAAAAUCUGAAAGAAAGCUAAUGAAACACUAGAUAGUGGAGAUCAAGAUAAAUAUGAUGAAAUUGUCCAAGUCAAACAAGCAAAUCCUUCACUUUCAGACAUUGUAAUAGUUGAGAAAAUCUGGGGAAGCAAUCUCAUGAUCACAUUACUGUAUUUGGUGACGAGACUACUUUGAAAGAUUUGAGAGGACCACUCCCUAGUCAAUCUGAUCUGGAAGCACGGGUUAUAGAAAAAAAGAGAAAGAACCAGAUGAUUCAAUAACGCUUAGAUGAGCAGGAGCAACAACAACAUCAAUAACAACAAAUGAUGUCUGACUUAGAGUCAUAAGUGAAAGCUAUACAUGAACUUUUUUUUAGGCAACCAUCUUCAUUGACUCCUCAAACUCGAGAAGAUGUGUAAGACUAGGCUAUCCAUGCAAGAUUAAGAGAUGGGGGGUAGCUCGAGUGUUCUUUUGAACAUGAUUAGAGAUGAAAGGAUGUGUCUUUUCCAGACUUUUAUUUUAAUUUGUUUUAGAUAGUUUCACGUAUUUUUCUUUGGAACAAUUG